GCCUCCUUGGCUCAGUUGGCUAGAGCGCAGGUCUCAUAGCAAUAUGACGCAUCGUUGGAUGUGUAAUCCUGAGGUCGCAAGUUCGAGCCUUGCAGGGGGCA